UUCGCAUCUUCCACCGGGUCU
ensembl:piRNA 21ur-5865 ncRNA